GACUUCGCCGCUGCUGUAGUUCCCCGGCUGGAUGCGGUGACUGGUGCCAGUGCUCAGGCGCCCGCUGCCCUUGACCUCCCGCCCCGCGAGCCCUAACUCAGCGCAGGAGGACCGGCUGCCGCCGCCGCCGCCGCCAGGAGGUAGAUUGGGAAGUGGAGCUGGCCGUGGUCAUUGGAAAGAAAGGCAAGCACAUCAAGGCCACAGAUGCCAUGGCCCACGUGGCCGGCUUCACUGUGGCUCAUGACGUGAGUGCUCGUGACUGGCUAACAAGAUGCAAUGGGAAACAGUGGCUGCUGGGAAAAACCUUCGACACCUUCUGCCCUCUGGGCCCUGCCUUGGUGACCAAGGACAGUGUAGCAGAUCCACACAACUUAAAGAUCUGCUGUCGAGUGAAUGGGGAAGUGGUCCAGAGCAGCAACACCAACCAGAUGGUAUUCAAGACAGAGGACCUGAUAGCCUGGGUGUCCCAGUUUGUUACCUUUUACCCAGGGGAUGUCAUCCUGACUGGGACCCCCCCACCUCCACCCAGGUGUCGGUGUAUUCAGGAAACCUCCUGUCUUUCUCAAGGUCUCUGAAGGUCCAGACAGCACUGAUGGCGAGCUUUGGGUCCGCACACUCUGGAAAGAAGAGAGAAGUGAAGGCUCUAGGAGCCUGGGCUGACUGGUUGGGACUCACCGAAGAUCCCUUCUUCCUGGGCGGUGGCCUGCAGGAACUGGAACAGCUGCUCUGUGUAGCCCAACUCUGCAGAAGAGAGAAGACCUAGACCUGGCACCCAGCACAGACACAGCCUGCCUCGAGGACUGCAAGGGAACAAGGGCCUCACCAGUAUCGGGCAGCUGGCCCUGGCGGAGGAAGGCGGCAGCCUGUGCAAAGGCCUUGAGCAGCGGGCUGAGCAGGCGGCAGAGGAAAAGAAAGAAAUCUGGGCAGUGUGACUGCUGGCUGAGCUGGAGGGGACAGGCCGGGGUGAGUGCAGCUCCCCACCGCCUCCCUACCACCUCCCUCCAGGGGCAGCUUUUUGAAACACACCCUGAAGUACCGGCCGUCAGCCUCUCCGAAGUCAUCACUGUCACUAUCAGUAAAGUCCCCACUCGGUUUCCACA
rnacentral:lncRNA from 1 species